UGGUGCCCAGUGUGAGACUCGAGUACAAAGGGCCCAGUGAAGAUCACCACUCUGUUUUUGGUCAGCCAACAAAUUUUGUGUAGAAACAUCUUGCAUGGGAACCUGCCGCCACAACUAGAGAUCCUGGUAAGUUCGUGAUGAUCAUGAGACAGACGUUGAGUAGCCAUGAAUUAUUUGUGGAAGGGUUGAAAAGGCUUUAAAGACAUGAGAGAUAAAAGUUAAAAUACAUGAUUUGCUUGCAUUUUUUUUGAUUUUGUUAAAGAGAUUGCCUAU
rfam:Mus musculus chromosome 2, GRC primary reference assembly.